GGCAAGAUGGCCGAGUGGUUAAGGCGUCAGAUUUAAGAAAUUGAACUCUGAUCUUCGAAAGAAGUCGUGCGUUCGAACCGCGCUCUUGCCA
rnacentral:tRNA from 3 species